GAUGAACGCUGGCGGCGUGCCUAAUACAUGCAAGUCGAGCGAACAGAUGAGGAGCUUGCUCCUCUGACGUUAGCGGCGGACGGGUGAGUAACACGUGGAUAACCUACCUAUAAGACUGGGAUAACUUCGGGAACCCGGAUCUAAUACCGGAUAAUAUAUUGAACCGCAUGGUUCAAUAGUGAAAGACGGUUUUGCUGUCACUUAUAGAUGGAUCCGCGCCGCAUUAGCUAGUUGGUAAGGUAACGGCUUACCAAGGCGACGAUGCGUAGCCGACCUGAGAGGGUGAUCGGCCACACUGGAACUGAGACACGGUCCAGACUCCUACGGGAGGCAGCAGUAGGGAAUCUUGCGCAAUGGGCGAAAGCCUGACGGAGCAACGCCGCGUGAGUGAUGAAGGUCUUCGGAUCGUAAAACUCUGUUAUUAGGGAAGAACAAAUGUGUAAGUAACUAUGCACGUCUUGACGGUACCUAAUCAGAAAGCCACGGCUAACUACGUG
rnacentral:rRNA from 1 species